rnacentral:misc_RNA from 1 species
ACGGUCGCUACGGUCGAAGUCGCAUUUGUUUACAAAUGGCGAAUGCACUAGCGGCUCGUUUGAAUGUCACUUUUUUAUAGUGGACACACCUACUUCGUGCGUUCGUUGUGCAAAGCUACAGAGUCGUACGACCGCUGUAACAAGCCGUUCUAGCUGAGUUUUAUUUUUAUUCGCGUCACUCGCAUCAUGGAUAUGAAUCGGCGACGUUACAGAGAAGCGUCGCUUAGGACGUUCGAACCAUUCCUAAAAGAAUACGACUUUCUGCUGCGUUAUAUACUCACCGAGGUACAGCACUUUAAGAAUGAAAUAAAAGCACUCAGGAAGGAAGCACUCAUACUAGUUGCUAACAAUCGCAGCCUCCACCGAGAUCUGAGGCGACAAGUGGAACAAAAUUUAGCGUCAGAUCCGCCCCACAGCAAUCAACUUUUAAGAGAGCUUCAGUCUCAUCUGGAUACGGUUACAGAGGACAAAAAUAUCACAUCCAAGAUGCUACAAACAGCGCUGCAAGAGAUUGAACGCCUUGAAAAUCAGCUAGAGGAAAAAAAGGACUUUGUUGAUAGGGAUACUCUUAACCAAUCUGUGGAAAAAGUAAGGACCGACUAUGAAAAUAGGUACGAGGAAACGUUUCGCGAGUUGGAGAAAACAAAAUGUGAGCUCUUUGAGGCUCAGAAAAGUCUUCACAACACGAAGUUGCGUUUGGCUCGGUACAGUGAACCAGUAUAUGUGAUUGAAAACGAGCUUCAGGAGAAGGAAAAAAAACUAGAUGAGGUUCUGCAGUGCCUGCAGGAAACUCAGGAGAAACUAAUUUUGGCAGAAGAAGAGCGGACCGACGCCAUUUCAAGGCUUGCAGCAGUUGAAGCUCGCCUGAAUAAAUAUUGCACGGAGAGUGCUAACCAUUCACAAGAAUUGAAGUCUUGUCAGGACCGAAGCAAAGCACUGCAAGAACAACUUAGCUCUGCACUGGAGCACGCUGAGGAAAGCGUCAACAUCACAGAACGAGCGCUGCUUGAGAAACAAGAAGCACAGCUGAGGUGUGAGCUUCUGGAAAACGAAGUGAUGGAGUUGAGAACUUCACUCGAAGCUGUGGUGGAGGAAGCUGCCCAGCAUACAGCGAAUGAGGUGGACAAGUUUCGCGAGAAAGGAAACCAACGUAUAAAAGAACUGAUCAAGCAAAUUGGGCAGCUUCAGCAGGCCGUGCAGCAGCAGCAGUCACUCACAGCUCACCUGUCCGAAGAGAACAGCAGACUAAGGGAGGAGACUGGAAUGCUCCAGAAACGUCAAGCCGACUUGAGACUGAACCGCGAUCCUGCUUUUCAGGCACUUAGCCAGACUUUGAUGCAGGCGGAAAGAAUGUGCCAGAAGCAUAGACUUACUGCAGAGUCUCUGCAGGACAAGUUGUUACACCAAGAAAAACAAAGUACAUUCAAGGUAAAGCAGAGGGAGCUGGAGAUCCAACGUCUUCAGAAUUUGUUACAAGAGGCCGAGAAACGUGCUGACCAGCUGCAGCAAUCGAUGGUUGAAACUGAGGACCAAACGGCGGAGCUUCGCCGAAAAGCGCACACUCUAGAAGCAGAGUGUAUUGCACUACGAAAGAGACACCCCGCCGAGGUGACUGCCCUAACUGAGGCGCUCGAUCAAGAGAAGAUAGUCUACAGCAUGAAGUUGCAACAAAUGCAAGACACCUUUGAGAAAAAACUAAUGAAUGCACAGGCACUGCUACAAGCACAGCAGGCUGUGAAUGACAAGAGCACUGCACUGUUUAGCUACCUGCAAAUUUACUUUUGCACAAGACUGCAGACAAAUGAAGGAUAACAGCUGCACAUGCCUGUGGAAAACAGAGGCAUCUAGGAUGGCAUCAGAAUUUGAAACGGAGUUGCUGGCUGCCCGAAAAAAGAUAUCUGCAUUAAAAAAGGCAAACAUGGAAUGGCAAAGGAAAGCAUACCACACAGCAAAAGAAACUCGAAAGGAAAAAAGAACAGGACACAG